rnacentral:rRNA from 1 species
UGGGCGUAAAGCGAGCGCAGGCGGUUAGAUAAGUCUGAAGUUAAAGGCUGUGGCUUAACCAUAGUACGCUUUGGAAACUGUUUAACUUGAGUGCAGAAGGGGAGAGUGGAAUUCCAUGUGUAGCGGUGAAAUGCGUAGAUAUAUGGAGGAACACCGGUGGCGAAAGCGGCUCUCUGGUCUGUAACUGACGCUGAGGCUCGAAAGCGUGGGGAGCGAACAGGAUUAGAUACCCUGGUAGUCCACGCCGUAAACGAUGAGUGCUAGGUGUUAGGCCCUUUCCGGGGCUUAGUGCCGCAGCUAACGCAUUAAGCACUCCGCCUGGGGAGUACGACCGCAAGGUUGAAACUCAAAGGAAUUGACGGGGGCCCGCACAAGCGGUGGAGCAUGUGGUUUAAUUCGAAGCAACGCGAAGAACCUUACCAGGUCUUGACAUCCCGAUGCCCGCUCUAGAGAUAGAGUUUUACUUCGGUACAUCGGUGACAGGUGGUGCAUGGUUGUCGUCAGCUCGUGUCGUGAGAAG